ACUCCUCUUCUUCCCCAGACUCACUCUUCUGGGGGUCAGUGAUCGGGUGAAAUCUGACACAUACAUACAUACAUACAGUAGCAUUUAGUGUGAAAAGGAAUUGGGGUGGAUGAGUGCUAUAAGUGUUAACUAUGUUAGACAUUCACAGAAGUUCUGAAUAUGUGUACUCUUUUUAUGGGCCUGUAGCCACUCCAUUUACACAGAUUAAUCCCCCCCACCUUAUAAAAUAAACGAUAGCACUCCCACCAGCCUGUAAAUACACCCCUCACCCUCUGUGAUCUACAGCAGUGCUUGUCUCCUCCAAGACUUCUUGAAUGCUUCCCAAAUUGCCUGUGUUAGGCGAGGGAGGUGGUUUGUAUUUCUGGACCCUUGCACACCAUUGGUCUGAGGAGGCCUCCAUGCCCUAAAAAAGAGAGUGGCUUUUUCGCUGAGCUGUUUAAGAAACACAUUUAUACUUCCUCAGUGAGCCAGCUGCCUGUGGCUUGCCAGUCGAUCCUGCCCUCCCACCAGUGCUGUCUGUCUUUCUUCUUGGGAACUUAGGUGCUCAUCAACAAAACCAAGAUGUCUGAGUAAG